AGCGAACGCUGGCGGCAGGCCUAACACAUGCAAGUCGAACGAACUCUUCGGAGUUAGUGGCGGACGGGUGAGGAACACGUGGGAACGUGCCUUUAGGCUCGGAAUACCUCAGGGAAACUUGUGCUAAUACCGAAUGUGCCCUUCGGGGGAAAGAUUUAUCGCCUUUAGAGCGGCCCGCGUCCGUUUAGCUAGUUGGUGAGGUAAAGGCUCACCAAGGCGACGCUCAGUAGCUGGGCUGAGAGGAUGAUCAGCCACAUUGGGACUGAGACACGGCCCAAACUCCUACGGGAGGGAGCAGUGGGGAAUCUUGCGCAAUGGGCGAAAGCCUGACGCAGCCAUGCCGGGUGAAUGAUGAAGGUCUUAGGAUUGUAAAAUUCUUUCACCGGGGACGAUAAUGACGGUACCCGGAGAAGAAGCCCCGGCUAACUUCGUG
rnacentral:rRNA from 1 species